UUCGCAAUGCCCGAAAGGGUGACGAAGCGACGCCGCGUGUGGGAAGAAGGCCUUCGGGUUGUAAACCACUGUCGGGAGUUAAGAAAUACAAGGAUAUGAAUAGUGUCUUUGUUUGACUAAGGCUCCGGAGGAAGCCACGGCUAACUCUGUGCCAGCAGCCGCGGUAAUACAGAGGCGGCAAGCGUUGUUCGGAAUUAUUGGGCGUAAAGAGCACGUAGGCGGCUCUGCAAGUCAGCUGUGAAAGCCUUCUGCUUAACGGAAGAACAGCAGUUGAAACUACAGGGCUUGAGUGUGGGAGAGGAGAGUGGAACUUCUGGUGGAGCGGUGAAAUGCGUAGAUAUCAGAAGGAACGCCGGCGGCGAAAGCGGCUCUCUGGCCCGUAACUGACGCUGAGUGUGCGAAAGCUAGGGGAGCAAACGGGAUUAGAUACCCCGGUAGUCCUAGCCGUAAACGAUGGGCACUAAGUAGAGGGGUUUU
rnacentral:rRNA from 1 species